GAUGAACGCUGGCGGCGUGCUUAAUACAUGCAAGUCGAACGAAGAAUUUGCGACAGUUUUUUUCGGACUGUAGUUGCUUAUGACUGAGUGGCGGAUGGGUGAGUAACGUGUGGGUAACCUGUCUUGUACUGGGGGAUAGCCGCUGGACACGGCUGGUAAUACCGCAUAAGCGCACAAUGUUGCAUGACGUGGUGCGAAAAACUCCGGUGGUAUAGGAUGGACCCGCGUCUGAUUAGAUAGUUGCUGAGAUAACAGCCCACCAUGGCGACGAUCAGUAGCCGACCUGAGAGGGUGACCGGCGACAUUGGGACGGGGACACGGCCGAGACUCCUACGGGAGGCAGCAGUGGGGAAUAUUGCACAAUGGAGGAAACUCUGAUGCAGCGACGCCGCGUGAGUGAAGAAAUAAUGCGUUAUGUAAAGCUCAAGCAGCAGUGAAGAUAGUGACGGUACCUGACUAGGAAGCCCCGGCUAAAUACGUG
rnacentral:rRNA from 1 species